rnacentral:tRNA from 1 species
UCUUAGUUAGCUUAGUUAGUCGAGCACUCCGCUAGAAAUGAAGAGGUCCCUGGUUCGAUACCAGGACUAGAC